rnacentral:rRNA from 1 species
UACGUAGGGUGCGAGCGUUAAUCGGAAUUACUGGGCGUAAAGCGUGCGCAGGCGGUUUUUGUAAGACAGGCGUGAAAUCCCCGGGCUUAACCUGGGAAUGGCGCUUGUGACUGCAAGGCUAGAGUGCGUCAGAGGGGGGUAGAAUUCCACGUGUAGCAGUGAAAUGCGUAGAGAUGUGGAGGAAUACCGAUGGCGAAGGCAGCCCCUGGGACGAGACUGACGCUCAUGCACGAAAGCGUGGGGAGCAAACAGGAUUAGAACCACGUGU